GACGAACGCUGGCGGCGUGCUUAACACAUGCAAGUCGAACGGAAAGGCCCUGCUUUUGUGGGGUGCUCGAGUGGCGAACGGGUGAGUAACACGUGAGUAACCUGCCCUUGACUUUGGGAUAACUUCAGGAAACUGGGGCUAAUACCGGAUAGGAGCUCCUGCUGCAUGGUGGGGGUUGGAAAGUUUCGGCGGUUGGGGAUGGACUCGCGGCUUAUCAGCUUGUUGGUGGGGUAGUGGCUUACCAAGGCUUUGACGGGUAGCCGGCCUGAGAGGGUGACCGGCCACAUUGGGACUGAGGUGCGGCCCAGACUCCUACGGGAGGCAGCAGUGGGGAAUAUUGCACCAUGGGCGGAAGCCUGAUGCAGCAACGCCGCGUGCGGGAUGACGGCCUUCGGGUUGUAAACCGCUUUCGCCUGUGACGAAGCGUGAGUGACGGUAAUGGGUAAAGAAGCACCGGCUACCUACGUG
rnacentral:rRNA from 1 species